rnacentral:rRNA from 1 species
CCUACGGGUGGCAGCAGUGGGGAAUAUUGGGCAAUGGGCGCAAGCCUGAUCCAGCAACGCCGCGUGGAUGAAGAAGGCUUUCGGGUUGUAAACUUCUGUUCUGGGGGACGAACAAAUGACGGUACCCCAGUAAUAAGCCACGGCUAACUACGUGCCAGCAGCCGCGGUAAUACGUAGGUGGCAAGCGUUAUCCGGAUUUAUUGGGUGUAAAGGGCGGGUAGGCGGGAUUGCAAGUCAGAUGUGAAAACUCAGGGCUCAACCCUGAGCCUGCCUUUGAAACUGUGUUACUUGAGUGCUGGAGAGGCGAUCGGAAUUCCGUGUGUAGCGGUGAAAUGCGUAGAUAUACGGAGGAACACCAGUGGCGAAGGCGGAUUGCUGGACAGUAACUGACGCUGAGGCGCGAAAGCGUGGGGAGCAAACAGGAUUAGAUACCCCGGUAGUC